rnacentral:rRNA from 1 species
ACGAACGCUGGCGGCGUGCCUAAUACAUGCAAGUAGAACGCUGAAGAGAGGAGCUUGCUCUUCUUGGAUGAGUUGCGAACGGGUGAGUAACGCGUAGGUAACCUGCCUUGUAGCGGGGGAUAACUAUUGGAAACGAUAGCUAAUACCGCAUAACAAUGGAUGACACAUGUCAUUUAUUUGAAAGGGGCAAUUGCUCCACUACAAGAUGGACCUGCGUUGUAUUAGCUAGUAGGUGAGGUAACGGCUCACCUAGGCGACGAUACAUAGCCGACCUGAGAGGGUGAUCGGCCACACUGGGACUGAGACACGGCCCAGACUCCUACGGGAGGCAGCAGUAGGGAAUCUUCGGCAAUGGGGGCAACCCUGACCGAGCAACGCCGCGUGAGUGAAGAAGGUUUUCGGAUCGUAAAGCUCUGUUGUAAGUCAAGAACGAGUGUGAGAGUGGAAAGUUCACACUGUGACGGUAGCUUACCAGAAAGGGACGGCUAACUACGUGCCAGCAGCCGCGGUAAUACGUAGGUCCCGAGCGUUGUCCGGAUUUAUUGGGCGUAAAGCGAGCGCAGGCGGUUUGAUAAGUCUGAAGUUAAAGGCUGUGGCUCAACCAUAGUUCGCUUUGGAAACUGUCAAACUUGAGUGCAGAAGGGGAGAGUGGAAUUCCAUGUGUAGCGGUGAAAUGCGUAGAUAUAUGGAGGAACACCGGUGGCGAAAGCGGCUCUCUGGUCUGUAACUGACGCUGAGGCUCGAAAGCGUGGGGAGCGAACAGGAUUAGGUACCCUGGUAGUCCACGCCGUAAACGAUGAGUGCUAGGUGUUGGAUCCUUUCCGGGAUUCAGUGCCGCAGCUAACGCAUUAAGCACUCCGCCUGGGGAGUACGACCGCAAGGUUGAAACUCAAAGGAAUUGACGGGGGCCCGCACAAGCGGUGGAGCAUGUGGUUUAAUUCGAAGCAACGCGAAGAACCUUACCAGGUCUUGACAUCCCGAUGCUAUUUCUAGAGAUAGAAAGUUACUUCGGUACAUCGGUGACAGGUGGUGCAUGGUUGUCGUCAGCUCGUGUCGUGAGAUGUUGGGUUAAGUCCCGCAACGAGCGCAACCCCUAUUGUUAGUUGCCAUCAUUCAGUUGGGCACUCUAGCGAGACUGCCGGUAAUAAACCGGAGGAAGGUGGGGAUGACGUCAAAUCAUCAUGCCCCUUAUGACCUGGGCUACACACGUGCUACAAUGGUUGGUACAACGAGUUGCGAGUCGGUGACGGCAAGCUAAUCUCUUAAAGCCAAUCUCAGUUCGGAUUGUAGGCUGCAACUCGCCUACAUGAAGUCGGAAUCGCUAGUAAUCGCGGAUCAGCACGCCGCGGUGAAUACGUUCCCGGGCCUUGUACACACCGCCCGUCACACCACGAGAGUUUGUAACACCCGAAGUCGGUGAGGUAACCUUUUGGAGCCAGCCGCCUAAGGUGGGAUAGAUGAUUGGGGUG